AUCUGGAAACCCUGCGGUUCAUCCUGUACCCCCUGAGCCACAGGCUGGGCUGUUCAGGUGAAAUGGUUUCACCUAACUUGUCAGGGCUGUGAUUGAUGUUGACUUUGCCCCCUGAUGGUUUCAAGCAUUGUGCUAGAGGCCAGUUCACAAACAAGUCCAGUCCCCACCUGGGCCAGUGUCUUCUCCCUCCAGACCCAUCCCCGGAGAGGCCAGGUGAGAGAACGGGGCUGGUCAGGGCAGAUCCAGCUCCACAUGACAGAAGGAAUAUAGUUGUAAAAAAAUCCCAGCCAGCUGUAGGAUGCCUGCUGCCUUAGGGGGAACACGUGGUAUCCUUCCCAUGAGGGAGAGGAAGUAAAUGUGUGCCUGUAUCCCUGUGGGGCAGCAGAGGGAGGAGAGCACAGGAGACGUGUGCUGCUAUGAGAAUGGGCCGCGGCGGACGAGUGAAGGGCUUCUGGGCUGUGAUGCUGACACUCCUCCAUCACGCAGUACGGCCUGUGUUCCCUUCCCCUGAAACUGGACAGACACUGGUAACUGCCUCCACCAAUCAAGUGUGGCAAAGUGACUUCUGAGGCCAGGUCCUGAAGGGUGAUCCAGCUUCUUCAUGGUUUGCUCUCUUGGGACACGCACCUAUGGUGCCCUGCGCAUCCAAGUAAGAGAUUUUAGUACCCUGAAGUCACUGUGCUGGAGAGACCACACAGAGGCAGAGGGAGAAGCCCCAGGAGACUGAGCUGCUGCAGCAGUCCUAGCCCAGUGUCCGGGGGGAGGAGCGAAUCUUGAGACACCUCCAGCCCCCACAUUCAUGUCACUGCUGCUGACACCGCAAGGAGCAUAAUGAGUUGUCCCCUGAGCCCUGCCAACAUGGCAGCUUCACCUGCAAAAGUGUUGCUGUUUUAAGCCGUGACAUUUUGGGGUGUUUGUUAUGCAGCCAUAACUGACUGAUAUAGGGUGGGAGGAAGAUAUUACCACCUAUGAAACAGCCAUUUUGCCAGAUAUUUUGCGAGCAUGAACUCAUACAACUCUUGCAACAGGAACGUAGGCACCACUGCUGGCCCUGCUUCCGAGGUACAGACGCUGGCAGACAUGAGAACUAAGUGACGUGGCCAAGGACACACACCUGCAGGUGACAGGGUUGGGACUGGAACCCAGGCUGCC
rnacentral:lncRNA from 1 species